AAGAAGAAGAAGAAGAAGCGUAAUGAUCAAGAAACUUCAUUGCCAUACUAUGAGUGCAGCAGGUGCAAUGAUAUUAUGCAGGACUUGAAAAUAGUCCCCCAAGGCCAAUGGACUGGGAUUAUUAAGUGUUUAAAGCCCUGUACAGUGACAAAGGAGAUAAUGGCUGAAAGAGGGAUAGACUUGGCCUUCACUGAUCAACAAAAGAACAUAAUGAUCACAUCACUUUUAAGACAAAAGUGUAAUGAUGGAGAGAUGACUUUAUCUCUGUGUAUG